GAUGAACGCUGGCGGCGUGCCUAAUACAUGCAAGUCGAGCGAACGGACGAGAAGCUUGCUUCUCUGAUGUUAGCGGCGGAAGGGUGAGUAACACGUGGAUAACCUCCCUAUAAGACUGGGAUAACUUCGUGAAACCGGAUCUAAUCCCGGAUAAUAUUUUGAUCCGCAUGGUUCAAAAGUGAAAGACGGUUUUGCUGUCACUUAUAGAUGGUUCCGCGCUGCAUUAGCUAGUUGGUAAGGUAACGGCUUACCAAGGCGACGAUGCAUAGCCGACCUGAGAGGGUGAUCGGCCACACGGGAACUGAGACACGGUCCAGACUCCGAGGAGAGGCAGCAGUAGGGAAUCUACCGCAAGGGGCGAAAGCCUGACGAAGCAACGCCGCGUGAGUGGUGAAGGUCUGCUGAUCGUAAAACUCUGUUAUUAGGGAAAAACAUAUGUGUAUGUAACGGUGCACAUCUGGAGGUAACUAAAGCAGAAAGCCACGCCUAACAGCGG
rnacentral:rRNA from 1 species